rnacentral:rRNA from 1 species
GCAGCAGCCGCGGUAAUACGUAGGUGGCAAGCGUUGUCCGGAACUAUUGGGCGUAAAGGGCUCGCAGGCGGUUUCUUAAGUCUGAUGUGAAAGCCCCCGGCUCAACCGGGGAGGGUCAUUGGAAACUGGGAAACUUGAGUGCAGAAGAGGAGAGUGGAAUUCCACGUGUAGCGGUGAAAUGCGUAGAGAUGUGGAGGAACACCAGUGGCGAAGGCGACUCUCUGGUCUGUAACUGACGCUGAGGAGCGAAAGCGUGGGGAGCGAACAGGAUUAGAUACCCGCGUAGUCCCUGUCUCUUAUAC